UUCGCUGGCGGCGUGCCUAAUACAUGCAAGUCGAGCGGACAGAUGGGAGCUUGCUCCCUGAUGUUAGCGGCGGACGGGUGAGUAACACGUGGGUAACCUGCCUGUAAGACUGGGAUAACUCCGGGAAACCGGGGCUAAUACCGGAUGGUUGUUUGAACCGCAUGGUUCAAACAUAAAAGGUGGCUUCGGCUACCACUUACAGAUGGACCCGCGGCGCAUUAGCUAGUUGGUGAGGUAACGGCUCACCAAGGCAACGAUGCGUAGCCGACCUGAGAGGGUGAUCGGCCACACUGGGACUGAGACACGGCCCAGACUCCUACGGGAGGCAGCAGUAGGGAAUCUUCCGCAAUGGACGAAAGUCUGACGGAGCAACGCCGCGUGAGUGAUGAAGGUUUUCGGAUCGUAAAGCUCUGUUGUUAGGGAAGAACAAGUACCGUUCGAAUAGGGCGGUACCUUGACGGUACCUAACCAGAAAGCCACGGCUAACUACGUGCCAGCAGCCGCGGUAAUACGUAGGUGGCAAGCGUUGUCCGGAAUAUUGGGCGUAAAGGGCUCGCAGG
rnacentral:rRNA from 1 species